rnacentral:rRNA from 1 species
ACGAACGCUGGCGGCGUGCCUAAUACAUGCAAGUCGAACGAAGCUUUCUUUCACCGAAUGCUUGCAUUCACCGAAAGAAGCUUAGUGGCGAACGGGUGAGUAACACGUAGGCAACCUGCCCAAAAGAGGGGGAUAACACUUGGAAACAGGUGCUAAUACCGCAUAACCAUGAACAUCGCAUGAUGUUCAUGUAAAAGACGGCUUUUGCUGUCACUUUUGGAUGGGCCUGCGGCGUAUUAACUUGUUGGUGGGGUAACGGCCUACCAAGGUGAUGAUACGUAGCCGAACUGAGAGGUUGAUCGGCCACAUUGGGACUGAGACACGGCCCAAACUCCUACGGGAGGCAGCAGUAGGGAAUCUUCCACAAUGGACGAAAGUCUGAUGGAGCAACGCCGCGUGAAUGAAGAAGGCCUUCGGGUCGUAAAAUUCUGUUGUCAGAGAAGAACGUGCGUGAGAGUAACUGUUCACGUAUUGACGGUAUCUGACCAGAAAGCCACGGCUAACUACGUGCCAGCAGCCGCGGUAAUACGUAGGUGGCGAGCGUUGUCCGGAUUUAUUGGGCGUAAAGGGAACGCAGGCGGUCUUUUAAGUCUGAUGUGAAAGCCUUCGGCUUAACCGAAGUAGUGCAUUGGAAACUGGAAGACUUGAGUGCAGAAGAGGAGAGUGGAACUCCAUGUGUAGCGGUGAAAUGCGUAGAUAUAUGGAAGAACACCAGUGGCGAAAGCGGCUCUCUGGUCUGUAACUGACGCUGAGGUUCGAAAGCGUGGGUAGCAAACAGGAUUAGAUACCCUGGUAGUCCACGCCGUAAACGAUGAGUGCUAAGUGUUGGAGGGUUUCCGUCCUUCAGUGCUGCAGCUAACGCAUUAAGCACUCCGCCUGGGGAGUACGGUCGCAAGACUGAAACUCAAAGGAAUUGACGGGGGCCCGCACAAGCGGUGGAGCAUGUGGUUUAAUUCGAUGCAACGCGAAGAACCUUACCUGGUCUUGACAUCCACGGAAGUUUUCAGAGAUGAGAAUGUGCCUUCGGGAACCGUGAGACAGGUGCUGCAUGGCUGUCGUCAGCUCGUGUUGUGAAAUGUUGGGUUAAGUCCCGCAACGAGCGCAACCCUUAUUGUCAGUUGCCAUCAUUAAGUUGGGCACUCUGGCGAGACUGCCGGUGAUAAACCGGAGGAAGGUGGGGAUGACGUCAAAUCAUCAUGCCCCUUAUGACCUGGGCUACACACGUGCUACAAUGGACGGUACAACGAGUCGCUAACUCGCGAGGGCAAGCUAAUCUCUUAAAGCCGUUCUCAGUUCGGAUUGCAGGCUGCAACUCGCCUGCAUGAAGUCGGAAUCGCUAGUAAUCGCGAAUCAGCAUGUCGCGGUGAAUACGUUCCCGGGCCUUGUACACACCGCCCGUCACACCAUGAGAGUUUGUAACACCCAAAGUCGGUGGGGUAACCUUUUGGAGCCAGCCGCCUAAGGUGGGACAGAUGAUUGGGGUG